UGGAAUGUAGCUUAGUGGUAAAGUGCUUGCCUACCAUGCAUGAAGCCAUGGGUUUGAUCCCUCAGUACCAC
rfam:Dipodomys ordii contig_29254, whole genome shotgun sequence.